rnacentral:rRNA from 1 species
CGUGUAGGCGGUUUGUCAGGUCCGAUGUGAAAGCCCCGGGCUCAACCCGGGAAGUGCAUUGGAAACCGGCAGGCUUGAAUACGGGAGAGGGUAGUGGAAUUCCUGGUGUAGGGGUGAAAUCCGCAGAUAUCAGGAGGAACACCGGUGGCGAAGGCGGCUGCCUGGACCGAUAUUGACGCUGAGACGCGAAAGCGUGGGGAGCAAACA